GGGAGUGCUACCGGGCGACCGGAUGCGGAUCUCGAAAGCCUGUCCCAGUUCGGACUGGAGUCUGCAACCCGACUCCACGAAGUUGGAUUCGCUAGUAAUCGCGCAUCAGCCAUGGCGCGGUGAAUACGUUCCCGGGCCUUGUACACACCGCCCGUCAAGCCAUGGGAGCCGGGGGCGCCUGAAGUCCGGGACCGCGAGGACCGGCCUAGGGCGAAACUGGUAACUGGGGCUAAGUCGUAACAAGGUAGC
rnacentral:rRNA from 1 species